UUGCUCUUUCCCUGCACCUUACAGGGGUAAGGGCGAAUUUAGAAGGCUCUGGAAAAGCCCUCGGGAGCCUUUGGAGGGGCUGGGCAGCGCUGCUGUUGGAGGGGAACAAUCUGGAAGGGAUGAGCUGGUAAAGAAAUGGGAGAAGCCGGUGCCAGUGCGGCCACAGGAGUUCAAAACGCAGCGCCAGAAGUUUCUGCAUCAAAACCACAAAAACCUCCCGGUGGAAACACUCGGGGUGCAAGAUAACAGAAGAGUCAGGCCACCCAGAGCACAGCUCAGAGGCGGUGGCAGCAAUGAGGGAGGGGACAGAGCUGAGCGUCUCCCGGAGCCACCUGGAGCCCGUGGAGGAGCGAGGAGGUGGAUUUGGAAUCCUUUCCUCGGAAGGAUUUGGAAUUUCUGGAGCGGCACAGCCCAGCGCGGAGCAGGUGGCAGAGAUGGAUCCCUCGUUGUGCCCGGCUGAUGGAGGGCUCUCAGACUGAUCGAUUGCCCACGCUGCGGUGCGCAGGAAUUGCUGGACUGGAUCGGUACCGGGCUCCGAGCAGCCUGUGCUCCUUCAUCGAGCCGCGCCUGAGCCAUCAGGAAGCUGUAAAAAGCCUUCAGGAGCCGAUAAUCUGCUUUUUAUACCCCCAGCGCACACAGCCACAGGCCCUGCUCUCACAGAAGCUGCAGCCCGGUUGUUAAUGGGAGCAGACCUUGAAGGAUGGAAUUGCAUUUCUGUUCUUAAAAAAAAAAGAGAGAUAAAAAAUAAAAAAUG